rnacentral:rRNA from 1 species
UACGAACUGCGCAAACGUUAUUCGGAAUCACUGGGCGUAAAGCGCACGUAGGCGGAUUGUUAAGUCAGGGGUGAAAUCCUGGAGCUCAACUCCAGAACUGCCUUUGAUACUGGCGAUCUUGAGUCCGGGAGAGGUGAGUGGAACUGCGAGUGUAGAGGUGAAAUUCGUAGAUAUUCGCAAGAACACCAGUGGCGAAGGCGGCUCACUGGCCCGGUACUGACGCUGAGGUGCGAAAGCGUGGGGAGCAAACAGG